AGCAGCCGCGGUAAUUCCAGCUCCAAUAGCGUAUAUUAAAGUUGUUGUGGUUAAAAAGCUCGUAGUUGAACCUUGGGCCUGGCUGGCCGGUCCGCCUCACCGCGUGUACUGGUCCGGCCGGGCCUUUCCCUCUGUGGAACCCCCAUGCCCUUCACUGGGCGUGGCGGGGAAACAGGACUUUUACUUUGAAAAAAUUAGAGUGCUCCAGGCAGGCCUAUGCUCGAAUACAUUAGCAUGGAAUAAUAGAAUAGGACGUGCGGUUCUAUUUUGUUGGUUUCUAGGACCGCCGUAAUGAUUAAUAGGGACAGUCGGGGGCAUCAGUAUUCAAUUGUCAGAGGUGAAAUUCUUGGAUUUAUUGAAGACUAACUACUGCGAAAGCAUUUGCCAAGGAUGUUUUCAUUAAUCAGGAACGAAAGUUAGGGGAUCGAAGACGAUCAGAUACCGUCGUAGUCUUAACCAUAAACUAUGCCGACUAGGGAUCGGACGAUGUUACUUAUUGA
rnacentral:rRNA from 1 species